ACACCCGUGAAAACGCCCUCACCCCCACUUAGGGAAAAGGAGCUGAUAUCAGGCUCAACAUUUGCCCAAGACAUCUAGCUACGCCACACCCACAAGGGUCCUCAGCAGUGAUUAACAUUAAAAAUAAACGUCAGUUUGAUUUAGUUAAUGAGUACAGAGCCGGCCAAUCUGGUGCCAGCCGCCGCGGUUACACCACGUGGCUCUAUUGAUUUUACACGGCGUAAAGCGUGAUUAAAGAAAAUUAUCAUUCACUGAGGUUAAACUCAAAUUAAGCCGUGACACGCUUGUUCUGAGGAAACUCGAUCUCGAAAGAUACCCCAGCCCACCAACUUGAAUUCACGACAAUUGGAACACAAACUGGGAUUAGAUACCCCACUAUGUCCAAUUAUAAACUUUUACUUACACCUUAUCGCCAGGGAACUACGAGCAAAGCUUAAAACCCAAAGGACUUGACGGUUCUCCACAUCCCUCUAGAGGAGCCUGUCCUAUAAUCGAUUCCCCCCGUUCAACCUCACCAUUUUUAGUUUUCCAGCUUGUAUACUUCCGUCGCCAGUUAACCGCGUGAGCGCAAUAGUAAACUCAAUGUCACAACCAGUACGUCAGGUCAAAGUGCAGCAAAUAAAAUGGCAAGAGAUGGGCUACACUUUCUACAAUAGAAGAUACGAAAGACUAUGUGAAACCUCAGUCAGAAGGUGGAUUUAGCAGUAAGGAUAAAGUAGAGUACUAUCCUUAACCUGGCACUGGAGUGCGUACACACCGCCCGUCACUCUCUUCAACACAUUUAAUCUAGUACAUAACAACUAAUUUCAAAAUAGAAGAGACAAGUCGUAAC
rnacentral:ncRNA from 1 species